rnacentral:rRNA from 1 species
AAAGGGGGUAUGGCAAUGGGCGAAGCCUGAUGCAGCGACGCCGCGUGAGGGAUGACGGCCUUCGGGUUGUAAACCUCUUUCAGCAGGGAAGAAGCGAAAGUGACGGUACCUGCAGAAGAAGCGCCGGCUAACUACGUGCCAGCAGCCGCGGUAAUACGUAGGGCGCGAGCGUUGUCCGGAAUUAUUGGGCGUAAAGAGCUCGUAGGCGGCUUGUCACGUCGGAUGUGAAAGCCCGGGGCUUAACCCCGGGUCUGCAUUCUAUACGGGCAGGCUAGAGUUCGGUAGGGGAGAUCGGAAUUCCUGGUGUAGCGGUGAAAUGCGCAGAUAUCAAGAGGAACACCGGUGGGGAAGGCGGAUCUCUGGGCCGAUACUGACGCUGAGGAGCGAAGGCGUGGGGAGCGAACAGGAUUACAUGCCCUGGUAGUCCACGCCGUAAACGUGGGGAACUAGGUGUGGGCGACAUUCCACGGUGUCCGUGCCGCAUCUAACGCAUUAAGUUCCCCGCCUGGGGAGUACGGCCGCAAGGCUAAAACUCAAAGGAAUUGACGGGGGCCCGCACAAGCGGCGGAGCAUGUGCCUUACUUCGACGCAACGCGAAGAACCUUACCAAGGCUUGACAUACACCGGAAACAUCCAGAGAUGGGUGCCCCCUUGUGGUCGGCGUACGGGUGGUGCAUGUCUGUCGUCAGCUCGUGUCGAGAUAUGUUGAGUUAAGUCCCGCAACGAGCGCAACCCUUGUUCUGUGUUGCCAGCAUGCCAUUCCGGGUGAUGGGCACUCACAGGAGACUGCCGGGGUCAACUCGGAUGACGGUGGGGACUACGGCAAGUCAUCGUGUCCCUUAUGUCUUGGGCUGCACACGUGCUACAAUGGCCCGUACAAUGAGCUGCGAAUCCACAAGGCGGAGCGAAUUUCCAAAACCCAAUUCUCAUUUCGGAUUGGGGUCUGCGACUCUACCAUAUGUAGUCAGAGUCGAUAGUAAUGGCAGAUCAACAUUGUUGCCGUGAUUAGUUUCUCGGCCUCGCACACCACGUCCGUCGUGUUAUACAAAGAUACGAACACCUAAACUCAGGUGGCCCAAUCCGUUCUCGGUAGGGAAUCGGUCCUAGGUGUGAACUGCUCAUAUGGGGACGACAUCAGAAACAAGGUAGCCGUAUAUAU